UCUAUGGCCAUACCACCCUGAAUGCACCCAAUCUUGUCUGAUCUUAGAAGCUAAGCAGGGUUAGGCCUGUUAGUACUUGGAUGGGAGAAAAACGAUAUUUGCAGGAAAACUGGUACAUAUCAGAU
ensembl:rRNA 5S_rRNA 5S ribosomal RNA